AAAAGUGAGGCUACCUUUUGCGGAGCUGCGUUGGUAUUUUUCAUCACAGACCAACUAGAGGCUUCCCAGUUCUUAGGCUCGGCAUCUUGACAGACAUCUCUGCAGUUUGGCAAAUCUAUGGGGAAGAAAGCAAAAAAAAAAAAUCAAUGCAGAAGGCUGUUUGGGAGUUUUAACUGCUCUCAUGGACACUUUAGAUUGCUUAACAAGAAAAAGACGUCUGCAGAGAUUUGAGUUGUCUCACAGACAGACCCUGAGACAAAGAUUCAAGGCAAGACCCAUGAUCUUCUUGGUCAACCUCACAGCGGGUUUGUGGCGAUCCUUUUUGGAUAUCUUUCCCCUUGGACAUUCAAGCUCAGCAUCCUCAAAGAGAAAGAAAGUGGGGCCUGUACCCAGCAAGAGUUCUGGGUUGGGUAUCAAGGCUGGAUGUCUACUUCAUAGAAGAGUGAAUUGUGGCAUUCUUUGAGCUGCUGACGAAAGGCG